rnacentral:tRNA from 2 species
GGAGGGGUGUUCGAGCGGUUUAAGGACCCGGUCUUGAAAACCGGUGACUUCGCAAGGGGUCCGUGGGUUCGAAUCCCACCCCCUCCGCCA